UAAACAGACCUAAGAAACAGAUUGAGUUGAAUGUUAAAGUUAAAAAGUAAAGAUAAGGCAAGGCUGUGUGUGGUGGCGCACACCUUUAAUCUCAGUACUCUGGAGGCAGAGGCAGGCAGAACUCUGUGAGUUUGAGGCCAGCCUGGUCUACAUAGUGAACUCCGAGCUUACCAGAGCUAAGUGGUGAGAUUGUGCCUAAAACCAAGCCACAUCAGACCAGACCAAACCAAAACAAGACAAAAAACCAAAUGGACACGUCCCACCUGCCACCAAAUCACACCAAAGAGUGAAAAAGCAAAGAUUCCUUUUGAAGCUUGCUUCUCACAUCCUCCGGGAGUACAGAGAUGGCCACACCCAACUGGAUGGAUACAGCUUUGAAAAGCAUGUAUUCAUAAAAAUGUUUUGACCCAAACACUGGAACUUUCCAACUGCCACUGUGGAGUAACUGCAGUCUCCUUUGUUUUGUGGCUCUGUGUGUGUGUGUGUGUGUGUGUGUGGUGUUGUGCAUAUGGGAUGGAGCUAGAAGUCAGCACUGGGUGUCUUUAUCUUCCUCUAUUGCUCUCUACUUUUUUUUUUUUUGGUUUGCUUGUUUGUUUUAUUAAGACAGGGUUUCUUUGUGUAGCCCUGGCUGUCCAGGAACUUGCUCUGUAGCCAACAUUGGCCUUGAACUCACAGAGAUCCAUUUGCCUCUGCCUCCUGAGUACUGGGAUUAAAGGCAUGCUGAUGUACCGCCAUUUGAGCUGGAAGGAGGGCCAUUGGCCUGUGAGCUGGGUGUUGGCGCUUUCAGAACAGAAGCCGGGCUCUGAGCCCCGCACCCCGUCUCGACCUCCUCGAGAAGCCUGAAGUCAGGCGGGAAGAGUCCUACAGUGUCCUGUGCGUGCCAAACAAGACAUUGUCCUAGCUGGGUGUGGUGGUUCACAACUUGCUCAGCAGGUGAAAGUGCUGCCAUCUACUCUGCCAUCCACCCUGAUGAAGAAACCAUGGGGAAAUUAACAAGGGCAGCUGUGGCGCACACCCCUGUCACUUCUACACUCAGGAGCCUGAGGCAGGAUUGUGGGUUCCAGACCAGCCGGGCUGUAGAACAGUCCUGUGUCUAAAAGAAGAAGUCAUCGAGAACUGGAGGUAUGGGUCAGCUGUCCUGUGUGUCUCUGGUAUUUAGGAAGCCUGGGCUUUACUCCUCAACACUAACAGAAUCACACAAAACAGGGGUUUUGAGAGUACCCAUUCCAUGGGUCUGGAAUUCCAGCGGUGGAGAGAGCUUGUCCUCAGAAGGCUCUAACGGCUGAAUGUUUGCACAUCUCUUGUGCGUCUUCUGAGUCCACUCUUGUAGCAAAAUUGACACCUCAUUCCUGAGCCCCAGGUGAGGUGUUUUCCUCUUAGAUCAGCGUUUUCAUUUCUUUGUUCUAGAAUGCAUGCAAGCAGGCCUGGUGGCUUAAAUGAGGAGCAGCAUUUGUGGUCAGGCUGACUCCACAUGGUGGAAAGGGAGCUGAUGCCUGCCAGCUGUUCUCUGACUUCCACAGGCACGGAACAAAGGAGCCACCACACUCUGUGGGAAAGCUGUGGCAUAACCCUGGGAUGAAAUUCUGAGCUGGAGAGAUGGACAGUGGUUAAGAGCAUUGACUGCUCUUCUAGAGGACCUGGGUUCAAUUCCCAGCACCCAUAUGGCCGGUCACAACUGUCUGCAACUCCAGGAUCUAACACCCUCACAGAGAUGUACAUGCAGGCAAAACAUCAGUAAGCCUAAAAUUAAAAAAUGAAUUAUUUAAUAAAGGAGUGAAAUUCACACAACACGAAUGAACCAUUUAAAGAUGCACAGUUUAGUGGCUUGGGUACAUCAUGUCUAACCACCCCUCUUCCUAGUUCCAGGACAGCUAGAGGGGACCAAGAAGAGAUGUUAAGGACCUUUCAAUUCACCAUUCAUUCAAUUGAAAGUCUCCUCCCUCCAGGCUGCAGAGAGAACAACUAAAUAUUUACCCCUGACAAACAUCAUUGGGGUGGAUGACCCAAAUCGCCCCGGUGACGAUUCUAGGCUGCAGUGUUUUCCUGCUGUCGGGAACUUCCAGAGAGAGGUCAGCCAGGUGACCUUCCAGUGGCCCAUCCUCAGUAGAGAUGCCAGAGAGACCUGUGAAAGGGCCUUUGACUCUAGUGUGCUGUUUCUUGCCUCCUUCUAGAAAAACUUAGCCACUGUUUCUUUGCUUUGCCAGCAGGAGUCUCUGUGAUUUCUGAUCGCUGCAUGCAGCGGCCUCUCAGCAGAAGUCUUACCUUGUUGUCGAUGUAGGGAGGGACCCUUCCAUCCUUGGCUGGGAUGAACUGGGGAGGCUGUGGUCUGGGAGUGAAAGGUGCACCUUGGGAAGACAGGACAUGGCUUGAUCUCUAGUGAUGAGUAGAUUUUCCUGGCUGUGAAGUUCUCUCACACACUAAGAUCUAAUAUGGAAACCUAAGGCUCACAUCGGGGGAGCCAGGCUCUGCGGAUAAAGGGAACUCGGGGUAUAUCUCUCUGGUUCUUCAUUUUAGUCUGGAGGAGGCUUGAUGGGAUACCCCAGCCCUGAGGGUACCAUCACAAACCCACAGACCCGGCUUCUGCUGUUUCCAGAGAAACAGCUCAGCUGUGGAGUGGAUGCUCUGUCAAUAGCUUCCAGGCCAUGAAAGCUCACCAAGACAUGUCCCCAGCCACUCACCAAUCUUCAGAAUUCUCCACCGGGAGACCCCAUGAAGUCCACGGUGUUUCUCACGAUUUCCUGGUCCGUAGACUCUGUCCGUGGCCACCACCCAUCUUUCUCUCACAACCCUUGCAUCUUGAUGGGGCCUGGCCAGGGUUAGAUUGCUUUUUUUCUGGAGGCAGGGUCUUGUGUUGCUGUGUCUGGUCUUGAAUGUAUUAUGUAGCCAAGGAUGACCUUGGACACUUUAAUCCUCCUGUUUUCACCUCCUGAUUGCUAGGAUUGCAGGUGUUUACCACCAUGUCUGAUUCAUGGGGGUCUGGGGAUCAAACCCAGGGCUUUGUGCAUGCGGCCUUCAUCUUGCUUCCUAACUGCUCUAUUCUGUAUGGGCUUCUAGAGCCCUGAAGACAGCCUGUCUGAAGAAACCAUCAGGCUGAUGUAUUACCCAGCACUCUUUAUCUCUACCUGCUCAGGAGGUCAGCAACAUCAGGAGGGCCAGAGCCUGGCUGGGAGGCUCGGAGUCCUUGGCUUUAAAAGAUUCCUUAAAUGUAUGGCUCAGCCGUGUCUGUUUGUCUCGUGGCUUCUGAGGACAAGUGUAAGCAUGUCUGGGAAGGUACUUGUGACCGUAGGACCCACAGUUUCUGUCUACGUCAUCACUAUUGAUCCUAGUUUGUAUGCAAAUACAGCUAUCAAUGUUGUCCUCACAGGACAUGAGCUGUGGACAUGGGGAUGGGGCAGGUGUGUGUAGCCUCUUUUUCUAUAGGACCACUGAGUGAGUCAAACUCACUAUCCUCCUGCCUCUGCCUCCUGGAUCCAUGUAUGGAUUAUACUGUACAUGGCAG
rnacentral:lncRNA from 1 species